AUUCGUGAACGUCGUGAGGCGCUGAAGCAUCAUUGUAACUCAUCGGCGAGUGACUCCGGAUCGACGCAAGAGCACCAGCAUAAACCGAAUCUUCCCAAGAUAUCGUUGCCCAAGUUCAGUGGAAGUUAUGGAGACUGGCUGUCGUUCAAGGAUUUAUACGUCACUAUGGUACACGGAAAUGAAGAUUUAAGUCCCGUGCAGAAGUUCUAUUACUUGAAGUCGUGUUUGGUCGGCGAAGCUGCCUCUUUGGUUACGACUUUGGAAUGUACGAACGAAAACUACGUGAAGGCAUGGUCUGCGAUUACAUCAAGAUAUGACAAUAAGCAGCGCUGCCAAGCAUUAGAUAUGCUAUGCCGUGAUGAAGCAGUGAGCACUACAAAGGUCGUGCCUCCGGCAAAGAGCACUAGUCAUGUGACUGUUGGCAGCGGCAGAAGUGCAAAUGG